rnacentral:miRNA from 1 species
UGAAGGUCUGCUAUGUGCCAAG